UUCUGUCAAUCCUAAAAUGUCUCUCUCAGAAGCCGUUUACAGUGACAAGAACAUGUCUUAUAGUCAAAAAUUUUAAAGCAUGUGUACUUCAAGUAGUGAGCCAAAUGUUAGUAACACAGAACUGGAAAAUCCAAACUAGGCUGAUUUCCACUGGGGAAGAAGAGGCAUUUAAGAAUACUGAGCAACUGACAGUCUUCAUCCAUUUUUGUAACAGCUGAAGCUAAAUGAAUGUGAUGUAAGUUCAUACCUAUUGUCUCAGAAUAUAAUAGUUUGGAAUGAAGAGUUGAGAAGCUGAUAUCCAGACACCUUCAACUUAUCCUCCUUUGCCUUCAUCAGCUGAGAUAAUGGGGAUGUGAGAAUGCCUAGAACCUCCAGCCUGGACCAGGACCCCAUUGUGCGAGGUGCUGUACAAUUUCAGAAUAAAAGAUGAUCGAGGCCCCAAGAAGCUUACUCUAAGUAUAAGACAAGAAACACCAGAUGGAUACAGUCAGAUGCAGAAGUACAAACCUUUGAAGUCUGUGAUACAGCUGAAGCAGUUGCAUCACUAUGGCGCAAAUCCCAAUAAGAGCAAACUAACCAGAUGUUGCUGAGAACAGAUGUUGACAGGAACAAAUGGAUCCAUGUGGUGUUUUGUGUUUUCUACCACGGAUGGGGAUGUGCUGGCUGCUACUUCCCGCAGCCCGCAUUGGUCUGCAACGAAGAACCACGGCCAGUGGGAGCUGCAAUUGGCCAAACCAGCGGAUGCUGCAGCCCCCGACCCCCAUGGGGAAGCAACAAACAGAUGUAGCACACGGCUUUCUGGCCACCCCUGGACCACCGUGUCCUGACAUACCCCCACCCCGCACCAGGGGUUGGAAGCAGGAGCAGAGAAGAGCUCCUACCCAAGCUUUAUGCCAGAGUAGUCUCAGGGAACCAUUUUUGCCCCUUGGUUACACUGCCAGACUGCUAAAAGGGACAUAACUGAGAAUUUGGCCCAAUGAUUCUCACAUGGGCAGAAGUGGGGAGAGUAGGGUAGGGAGUGGAUGAAUCUGAUGCAGCUGAGGAAGGGAAAAGCUGUAAUGUUGUAAAACCAGUGAAGUGAAGCAUCAACAUCCUGAGGAACUGCUGUCAAUACAUCAAUAAGGACCUGUAUCUUCUUGGAAGAAAUUUCAAAACGCCUUAGCAGUUUGAUUUAACUCUUCAUUGACACCACCACAAGCAGUGAGCCAGCUUUCAAAAGAGCUCUUUCAAAAUGACUUGUCUUUGCAUUUCUCUUUAUUCGACUUUUGGCAGGACGACUGUUUAGCAAUCAAAUUAAAGUUCAUUUUAUCCGAUGAGUUACCAACAACCAAGGCAGCGGGUCUUGGGUCAGUCCCAUCUUGUAAGAUUAUCUGAAAUGUACUAGAUCCUCCUUCAUUAAAAAAAAACAACAUUUUUGCCUAUUUGUCUAAAAGGUCUGAAAACUUUCAAACCACAUGCUAGAGUGGAUUCUAUACAGAGCACUCUAUGCUGAGAGAAUGCGAGAACAAGUCCUUUAAAAAGCAGGACUUCUCUAUACUGAGCAGCACUAUAGAAGUUAGAGAGGAGCUGACUUCUUUCUAUUCAUACUGAAGUUCAGUCUGUGAACAGCAGGUAGUCUGGCCUUCUCAUGCAUUCAGUUGGUGCCAAAUUGCUGCAUUAUUUUGGGACUCUACAAACAACACCUUAGGAAGGGGAGGGUUUCCCCACAGUUCAUUUGAGAUUUUGUUCCAGAUCACUCCUUUCUGCAGAAAUAUCUAUGGCGAAGGAAUGGGGGCGGGGGAAACUGCUUUCAGGACCUUUCCUGGUGUCCCUGUCAAUUGGAUGUUUUGCCCCAGUUUUAGUAAGCAGAUGACAGCUGCUGGAAGGAUCCAUUGAGAAGCUGAGCUAGCACAGCUGAUGACCAAGCUGGCUGAGCUUACCUCAAGAACUAAUUAAUAACCAGGCUUUUCAUGUUGCUGUUUUCCGCUCUGUAGGUCCCCCACCUCACCACAGCUUCCAGAAUAAUCCUGUGCAUACCACUCUGACAUUCUGCAGCACCCACCCUCCUGCCAGAUAUCCUGUUUUUCACUAGUGAACAUCUGGUCACCCUAAGCAUAUCAGAAUAGAACAUAAGAAUGGC